rnacentral:rRNA from 1 species
AGCAACGCGAAGAACCUUACCAAAUCUUGACAUCCUUUGACCCUUCUAGAGAUAGAGUUGUCCCCUUCGGGGGACAGAAUGCAGGUGGUGCCUGGGUGUUGUCAGGUUGUGUUGUGAGAUGUUGGGUUAAGUUCCGCAAAGAGGCCAACCCUUAACCUUUAAGCCAGUCAUUAAGUUGGGAACUCAAAGGAGACUGCCAGUGAUAAACCGGAGGAAGGUGGGGAUGACGUCAAAUCAUCAUGGCCCUUUGAUUUGGGCUACACACGUGCUACAAUGGCCUAUACAAAGGGAAGCGACCUCGCGAGGUCAAGCGAAUCUCAUAAAGUCAGUCUCAGUUCGGAUUGUAGUCUGCAACUCGACUACAUGAAGUCUGGAAUCGCUAGUAAUCGUGAUCCAGAC